UAAAACCAAAGGGGACUUUAAUAUUCAUAAAAUAAAUCUUAUUUACAUAUUUUACAUUUCCAUCCGUAUCACAAUGGACAGUAGAAUGUGAUUUCAAAAGAGUUCGUAGAUGCUCUAGAAAUAAAUUUAGCACCGUGGCAAUAUCCUGUAUAGUAUCUCAACUUUUUAUUAAGUGUGAUGGAUAACGCAAAGCAAUGAUAAACCUCUGCAUUUUAAGUGUUAAACUUGUCCAUCCUGAACUGGUUGUUUGAUUUAGAGUGCCGGGAGAGAGUUGUGGUAAGAGGUUUAAUUCACGUAUCAUUAAAGGGUGAAUGUUGUAUCUGUGACAACCCAAGAUUAUAGGAACAUCACUACUUAAAGGGACCCUAUAGGCAUUCAGACCACUUAAUCUUAAAGCGGCACUGUCAUGCCGAAUUCUGUUUUUUUUUUAACCCCCCUCCCGCCUCCACUACAUCCAAUUGACCCACUAGUCACCCCCAAAUGCCUCUAAGCCCCCCACAUUACCUAUUUUUUAAUCCUUAUUUUCUGCCCCGAUCUAUAUUCAGGGCGCAGCCAUCUUUGUGUGGGUAGGUGAAGUCCCUGUGGGACACGUCAUCAGCCCACACUAGACAGACUGUGAGAUUCCCGCACAUGCCCAGUGAAACACC